rnacentral:pre_miRNA from 1 species
CUAACUCAAAUUUGUGUGGAGUUGGAACUUUUGCCGCUAGGGGCGCUGUUCGAACUGCAUACAAAUUUGAGUUA